rnacentral:rRNA from 1 species
CGUACAGGCGGCCAUAUAAGUCGGGUGUGAAAUUCUCAGGCUUAACCUGAGACCUGCACUCGAUACUGUUUGGCUUGAGAUCAGGAGAGGAGAGUGGAAUAUGUGGUGUAGCGGUGAAAUGCGUAGAUAUCACAUAGAACACCGGUGGCGAAGGCGGCUCUCUGGCCUGAUUCUGACGCUGACGCGCGAAAGUUAGGGUAGCGAACG